CGAACGAUGAACCACAUUCGGUGGGGAUUAGUGGCGAACGGGUGAGUAACACGUGGGCAAUCUGCCCUGCACUCUGGGACAAGCCCUGGAAACGGGGUCUAAUACCGGAUACGAGUUCCACGGGCAUCCGUGGGACUGGAAAGCUCCGGCGGUGCAGGAUGAGCCCGCGGCCUAUCAGCUUGUUGGUGAGGUAAUGGCUCACCAAGGCGACGACGGGUAGCCGGCCUGAGAGGGCGACCGGCCACACUGGGACUGAGACACGGCCCAGACUCCUACGGGAGGCAGCAGUGGGGAAUAUUGCACAAUGGGCGAAAGCCUGAUGCAGCGACGCCGCGUGAGGGAUGACGGCCUUCGGGUUGUAAACCUCUUUCAGCAGGGAAGAAGCGAAAGUGACGGUACCUGCAGAAGAAGCGCCGGCUAACUACGUGCCAGCAGCCGCGGUAAUACGUAGGGCGCAAGCGUUGUCCGGAAUUAUUGGGCGUAAAGAGCUCGUAGGCGGCUUGUCGCGUCGGUUGUGAAAGCCCGGGGCUUAACCCCGGGUCUGCAGUCGAUACGGGCAGGCUAGAGUUCGGUAGGGGAGAUCGGAAUUCCUGGUGUAGCGGUGAAAUGCGCAGAUAUCAGGAGGAACACCGGUGGCGAAGGCGGAUCUCUGGGCCGAUACUGACGCUGAGGAGCGAAAGCGUGGGGAGCGAACAGGAUUAGAUACCCUGGUAGUCCACGCCGUAAACGGUGGGCACUAGGUGUGGGCAACAUUCCACGUUGUCCGUGCCGCAGCUAACGCAUUAAGUGCCCCGCCUGGGGAGUAC
rnacentral:rRNA from 1 species